rnacentral:rRNA from 1 species
AACGAACGCUGGCGGCAUGCCUAACACAUGCAAGUCGAACGAGACCUUUGGGUCUAGUGGCGCACGGGUGCGUAACGCGUGGGAAUCUGCCCUUGGGUUCGGAAUAACAGUGAGAAAUUGCUGCUAAUACCGGAUGAUGUCUUCGGACCAAAGAUUUAUCGCCCAGGGAUGAGCCCGCGUAGGAUUAGCUAGUUGGUGUGGUAAUGGCCUACCAAGGCGACGAUCCUUAGCUGGUCUGAGAGGAUGAUCAGCCACACUGGGACUGAGACACGGCCCAGACUCCUACGGGAGGCAGCAGUGGGGAAUAUUGGACAAUGGGCGCAAGCCUGAUCCAGCAAUGCCGCGUGAGUGAUGAAGGCCUUAGGGUUGUAAAGCUCUUUUACCAGGGAUGAUAAUGACAGUACCUGGAGAAUAAGCUCCGGCUAACUCCGUG